GCUAUGACCCUGAGAGCGACACCCUGACCCUGAGUGGGGAGAUGGCGGUUAAGCGGGAGCAGCUCAAGAAUGGUGGCUUGGGUGUAGUCUCCGACGCCAUCUUUGAACUGGGCAAGUCACUCUCUGCCUUUAACCUGGAUGAUACGGAAGUGGCUCUGCUGCAGGCUGUGCUGUUAAUGUCAACAGACCGCUCUGGCCUGCUGUGUGUGGACAAGAUCGAGAAGAGUCAGGAGGCCUACCUGCUGGCGUUUGAGCACUACGUCAACCACCGCAAACACAACAUUCCGCACUUCUGGCCCAAGCUGCUGAUGAAGGUGACUGACCUCCGCAUGAUCGGGGCCUGCCACGCCAGCCGCUUCCUCCACAUGAAAGUCGAGUGCCCCACCGAACUCUUCCCCCCACUCUUCCUGGAGGUCUUUGAGGAUCAGGAAGUCUAAAGCCUCAGGCGGCCAGAGGGUGUGCGGAGCUGGUGGGGAGGAGCUUGGAGAGAAGGGACAAAGCUGGGGGCUGAGGGAGAACCCCCAUCUCUUCUCUCCUUCCUCCCGUCCUUGGAUAGAUACAGCUCCCAUACACCCCUGCACCGCCCAGCCCCCUCAGAACCUCCAGCCCUUGGACAGGGCGACAAAUGAACUUGCUAUGAAAGGCCGUGUGGGAGGCUGGGACCCAAGUUCUAGAGUCUCUGGGACCCCAACCUCUAAGAAAGUAGGGGAAGGGAAGAAAGACUGAGAGGGACAAGCCAUCUUGACUGUAGGGUCAGGAGGAAUGAGGAAUAGGGGCAGGUGCCCUUACUCACCCCUACACACACACAGGAGAGCCCUGCCAAGUUCCUUGGCCUAGAUUUCCCUUCAGGCCACAGGUCUCUACUUCCCCAAAUACCUGGGUCCUGGGUGCAAAGGACAGCUUGGCUUGGCUUAGCUCCUCCCCUGGAGGCUAAAAAUGGUAGUCAUCCUAACUGCACUUUGGAAACCAAGAGAGAGGGGAGACUAUAAAUGAAGAAAAACUAGACAGAAAAAAACAAAAACAAAAACAAAAA
rnacentral:lncRNA from 1 species